AAUCCUGUGGUGAGAGCAGCUACGAAGUAACUCUUUAAAUCUUUCCCAUGCCUCGUAUAGGGAUUCAUCAUCCAUUUCUUGAAAAUAGUGAUCUCAUUCCGCAACU
rfam:Gossypium raimondii Chr10_contig_595, whole genome shotgun sequence.